AUGGCAGCUGAAGAAAUUAAUGAGGACUAUCCAGUAGAAAUUCACGAUUAUUUGUCAGCAUUUGCGAAUUCCAUUGAUGCUGUGGAUGAGAUGCUGAAGAACAUGAUGUCUGUUUCUAGAAAUGAGUUGUUGCAGAAGUUGGACCCACUUGAACAAGCAAAAGUGGAUUUGGUUUCUGCAUACACAUUAAAUUCAAUGUUUUGGGUUUAUUUGGCAACUCAAGGAGUGAAUCCUAAGGAACAUCCAGUAAAGCAGGAAUUGGAAAGAAUCAGAGUAUAUAUGAACAGAGUCAAGGAAAUAACAGACAAGAAAAAGGCUGGCAAGCUGGACAGAGGUGCAGCUUCAAGAUUUGUAAGAAAUGCCCUCUGGGAACCAAAACCGAAAAAUACAUCCAAAGUUGCCCAUAAAGGAAAAAGUAAAAGUUAA
rnacentral:lncRNA from 1 species